UACAGGGGGGGGCAAGCGUUGUUCGGAAUUAUUGGGCGUAAAGAGCUCGUAGGCGGCUUGUCGCGUCGACUGUGAAAACCCGCGGCUCAACCGCGGGCCUGCAGCCGAUACGGGCAGGCUAGAGUUCGGUAGGGGAGACUGGAAUUCCUGGUGUAGCGGUGAAAUGCGUAGAGAUGUGGAGGAACACCAGUGGCGAAGGCGACUUUUCUGGACUGUAACUGACGCUGAGGCAUGAAAGCGUGGGGAGCAAACAGG
rnacentral:rRNA from 1 species